rnacentral:rRNA from 1 species
UACAGAGGCCACAAGCGUUAGACGGAAUCACUGGGCUUAAAGCGUGUGUAGGCGGGAUGGUAAGUACCUUGUGAAAUCCCACAGCUUAACUGUGGAAAUGCUUGGUAUACUGCCGUUCUUGAGUUACCUAGGGGCAACCGGAACAAACGGUGGAGCGGUGAAAUGCGUAGAUAUCGUUUGGAACGCCAAUGGUGAAAACAGGUUGCUGGGGAUAUGCUGACGCUGAGACACGAAAGCCAGGGGAGCAAACGGG